rnacentral:tRNA from 1 species
GGUGAAAAACGGGAUUCGAACCCGUGUUUUCAGAUUCACAGUCUACUACUUUUACCAACUAAGUUAUAUUCAC